GAAAUGCGAUAAGUAGUGUGAAUUGCAGAAUUCAGUGAAUCAUCGAAUCUUUGAACGCACAUUGCGCUUCCUGGUAUUCCGGGGAGCAUGCCCGUUUCAGAAUCAUUAACAUCUCACAAAGCUAGCUAGAUGCUUUACGCAGAUUACUAGUAAUGUGGUUUUGGAUGCAUUUGUGCUUCUUUGCGCAAUCAUCAAAAAAUCAUUGUAUGUGCGCCAAUUUGGACAAAGGAUUGGUUAUCAACGUGCAACAGAGGUGUAAUACUCCAUUCAUGUUGAUAAUUAAAUUUUAUUACAGUUGACGUACAUUCUCUCUUUAAAAGCAACACCAAGCAGCAGAAUAUUCUGCUGUUUGAUAACUUGGUCUGAAAUCGGGCAAGAAAACCCGCUGAACUUAA
rnacentral:misc_RNA from 1 species